rnacentral:lncRNA from 1 species
GAACAAAAGAGUAUUGUUUCAGGUGAGAGAAUUGAGGCAAUGUUGGCAACGAUGAUGAGGAAAGAGGCGGCGAAUGUGACUGGAAUUGAAUCUCAGUCAUCUGCGGCGGCGGCAGCGUUGACGACGAUGAAAAAUGAAGUGCAAUUUGCUAAGUGCGAGUGCUGUGGAUUGACGGAGGAGUGUACGGAGGCGUACAUAGCGAGA